UGCGUAGGUGGUUUGGUAAGUUAUCUGUGAAAUCCCCGGGCUCAACCUGGGCAGGUCAGAUAAUACUGCUGAACUCGAGUAUGGGAGAGGGUAGUGGAAUUUCCGGUGUAGCGGUGAAAUGCGUAGAGAUCGGAAGGAACACCAGUGGCGAAGGCGGCUACCUGGCCUAAUACUGACACUGAGGCACGAAAGCGUGGGGAGCAAACAGGAUUAGAUACCCUGGUAGUCCACGCUGUAAACGAUGUCAACUAGCUGUUGGAUAUAUGAAUAUAUUUAGUGGCGCAGCAAACGCGAUAAGUUGACCGCCUGGGGAGUACGGUCGCAAGAUUAAA
rnacentral:rRNA from 1 species